rnacentral:rRNA from 1 species
GGAGAGCUUGCUUUCCUUGAGAGUGGCGCACGGGUGCGUAACACGUAUGUAACCUACCUUGUUCAGGGGGAUAGCCUCUCGAAAGAGAGAUUAAGACCGCAUAACAUUAUGAUAUGGCAUCGUAUUAUAAUCAAAUAUUUAUAGGAACAAGAUGGGCAUGCGGAACAUUAGCUAGUUGGUAAGGUAACGGCUUACCAAGGCUACGAUGUUUAGGGGAUCUGAGAGGAUGACCCCCCACACUGGUACUGAGACACGGACCAGACUCCUACGGGAGGCAGCAGUAAGGAAUAUUGGUCAAUGGGCGGAAGCCUGAACCAGCCAUGCCGCGUGCAGGAAGACGGCCCUACGGGUUGUAAACUGCUUUUGUACCAGAAUAAACCUUUCUUCGUGAAGAAAGCUGAAUGUAUGGUAAGAAUAAGGAUCGGCUAACUCCGUGCCAGCAGCCGCGGUAAUACGGAGGAUCCAAGCGUUAUCCGGAUUUAUUGGGUUUAAAGGGUGCGUAGGUGGCUUAUUAAGUCAGGGGUGAAAGACGGUAGCUUAACUAUCGCAGUGCCUUUGAUACUGAUGAGCUUGAAUGAACUAGAGGUAGGCGGAAUGUGACAAGUAGCGGUGAAAUGCAUAGAUAUGUCACAGAACACCAAUUGCGAAGGCAGCUUACUAUGGUUAGAUUGACACUGAGGCACGAAAGCGUGGGGAUCAAACAGGAUUAGAUACCCUGGUAGUCCACGCCCUAAACGAUGAAUACUCGAUGUUGGCGAUAUACGGUCAGCGUCUAAGCGAAAGCGUUAAGUAUUCCACCUGGGGAGUACGCCCGCAAGGGUGAAACUCAAAGGAAUUGACGGGGGCCCGCACAAGCGGAGGAGCAUGUGGUUUAAUUCGAUGAUACGCGAGGAACCUUACCCGGGCUUGAAAGUUAGUGAAUUGAGCAGAGACGCUCAAGUCCUUCGGGACACGAAACUAGGUGCUGCAUGGCUGUCGUCAGCUCGUGCCGUGAGGUGUUGGGUUAAGUCCCGCAACGAGCGCAACCCCUAUGUUUAGUUGCCAGCACGUUAAGGUGGGGACUCUAAACAGACUGCCUAUGCAAAUAGAGAGGAAGGAGGGGACGACGUCAAGUCAUCAUGGCCCUUACGUCCGGGGCUACACACGUGCUACAAUGGAUGGUACAGAGGGCAGCUACCUGGCAACAGGAUGCCAAUCUCAUAAAGCCAUUCACAGUUCGGAUCGGGGUCUGCAACUCGACCCCGUGAA